rnacentral:miRNA from 1 species
CAGAGCGUACCGAUUCUUUGAU